rnacentral:rRNA from 1 species
UUUCCGUAGGUGAACCUGCGGAAGGAUCAUUAUUGAAGCAUAAGAGUGCGCUUUAUUGCGGCUCGACCCUUCACAUCCAUUCACCCUGUGCACUGUAAUAAUUUAUUAUUAUUAUUAAACCCUACUAGUCUAAGAAUGUAAAGGACCCUUAUAAUUAAUAUAAAACUUUCAACAACGGAUCUCUUGGCUCUCGCAUCGAUGAAGAACGCAGCGAAAUGCGAUAAGUAAUGUGAAUUGCAGAAUUCAGUGAAUCAUCGAGUCUUUGAACGCACCUUGCGCCUUUUGGUAUUCCGUAAGGCACACCUGUUUGAGCGUCAUGAACACCUCAAUCCCCAUGUUAUCUUUUGAUGCAUGAGUGGGUUGGAUGUUGAGCAUUGCUGGCCUGUAACCCAGUCAGCUUGCUUUAAAUGCAUCAGCUGGCUUCUGUACUUGAUCGGUUUGACUCAAUGUGAUAACAUCUUCAUUGGGGAUUGCAUUGUCAUAAAUGCAGCCGGAAAGUACAAAGCAGCUUUCUAGCCUGCCUCUUUUAGUGGCACCAUUUUACAUUUUAGACCUCAAAUCAGGUGGGACUACCCGCUGAACUUAAGCAUAUCAAUAAGCGGAGGAAAUCGAAUUC